rnacentral:rRNA from 1 species
AUUGAACGCUGGCGGCAGGCCUAACACAUGCAAGUCGAACGGUAACAGGAAGAAGCUUGCUUCUUUGCUGACGAGUGGCGGACGGGUGAGUAAUGUCUGGGAAACUGCCUGAUGGAGGGGGAUAGCUACUGGAAACGGUAGCUAAUACCGCAUAACGUCGCAAGACCAAAGAGGGGGACCUUCGGGCCUCUUGCCAUCGGAUGUGCCCAGAUGGGAUUAGCUAGUAGGUGGGGUAACGGCUCACCUAGGCGACGAUCCCUAGCUGGUCUGAGAGGAUGACCCGCCACACUGGAACUGAGACACGGUCCAGACUCCUACGGGAGGCAGCAGUGGGGAAUAUUGCACAAUGGGCGCAAGCCUGAUGCAGCCAUGCCGCGUGUAUGAAGAAGGCCUUCGGGUUGUAAAGUACUUUCAGCGGGGAGGAAGGGAGUAAAGUUAAUACCUUGGCUCAUUGACGUUACCCGCAGAAGAAGCACCGGCUAACUCCGUG